rnacentral:tRNA from 1 species
GCGGAUGUGGCGGAAUUGGUAGACGCGCUGGUCUUAGGAACCAGUGCCAAAAGCGUGGGGGUUCGAGUCCCUUCAUCCGCACCA